GGGCCCGCACAAGCGGUGGAGCAUGUGGUUUAAUUCGACGCAACGCGAAGAACCUUACCAGCUCUUGACAUUGCUAAGUCGCGAGUUUUAGAGAUAAAACUCUUCAGUUCGGCUGGACUUAGUACAGGUGCUGCAUGGCUGUCGUCAGCUCGUGUCGUGAGAUGUUGGGUUAAGUCCCGCAACGAGCGCAACCCUUGUCCUUAGUUGCCAGCAAUUCGGUUGGGCACUCUAGGGAGACUGCCGGUGAUAAACCGGAGGAAGGCGGGGAUGACGUCAAGUCCUCAUGGCCCUUACGGGCUGGGCUACACACGUGCUACAAUGGCGUCCACAAUGGGUCGCAAUAGGGCAACCUAGAGCUAAAUCUCAAAAAGACGUCUCAGUUCGGAUUGUACUCUGCAACUCGAGUACAUGAAGUAGGAAUCGCUAGUAAUCG
rnacentral:rRNA from 1 species